UCCCAAAAUGAUUUUCGGCCGCUUAAAUACACAAAUUUAUCCCCGGGCAUUUGAAACUCCACACCGAUAGGCGACAAAGUUAAAAAAAUAUUUGCCAAAACUUUAGCUAAUGAACUGUUAAUUGCCCAGAGACCUCCAACACUGGCCGCCGUUAAUUGCAGUUAAUGGGUUAAGCUCUUACCUAUUUCUAACACUUGAUUAUGCAAAGGUCUCGAACUUAUCCCUAAUUAAUUUCCACACCGCGAAAACCAACAAUCUGAGUCGAUGGCUUUCGCCCCGAGGAAACGCGUGCGAUUUGCUCGCGCCAAAUUUGACAACAUUUACGAAAGGCCCGCGGAAAUGGGCGCUUAUCAGAUGUACGACUAACGAGAUACCCUACAAUGCGCAAAAACACAAUUAUUAAGCUUAAGGCUUAAGCUGCAUUUGAAUAACUUCUUAUAUUUAUUAUUUAUUUAAGUAAGUUCAAUUUCAUAAAAAUCAUGAUACCCCGCAAAAUGAGUGAGUGAACCAAACUCCAGAGACAGUGAAGUCAGAUAUUUGGAAAAUGUAUUGAAAUAUGUUUUCAUCAAUAAUUACAUUUGCCGUUGGCCGUGGAGACGGACGACAGCUGCCACCUGGAGCCGGAGAUUCGAAGCUGUUUGGGCGGUGGAAAGUCGGAAAGUUGGACGGCUGAGAUUACGACGCUGGCGACGACAACAGUAGAUUAAGACGAAGCUGCCACAGAGAUGCCCUGAGACAAAUGAUGUUUGCCACUAAACAAAUUUCGCAGACUCUUCGUUGACAGUUAGGAGAAGAAGCUGCAGAAGAGCGUCUUCUUCUCGCCACGCAGAAAGAGCCGGACAGAGACGAGAAGAGCCGGCGACUGAAAUUGACUGGGAGUUGCGAGUUCAUCGCAAAGUCUCGGCAUUAUUUGCAUAAUUCAACUUUAAUACAAAUUGGCAACUCCAGCAAUUUGCGCUUGAACGGCCACACAUUCACUUGGACACUUUUACACGGGGAUCUGGACAUUAGAGAUGGUUACAUGGAGGGAUAGCUAAUCAUGCGCAUGAUCUUUGGGAUGGAUGCAUGUGGGCACAUUAGGGUUACCACCGGCACAGCACAGCUCAGCACGGCACUCCCCCCGAUUCCCGAUAUUCGAUUCUCGGAUUCCCGAUUCCCGAUUCCUGGAGCCG